GGAUGCGAUCAUACCAGCACUAAAGCACCGGAUCCCAUCAGAACUCCGAAGUUAAGCGUGCUUGGGUGAGAGUAGUACUAGGAUGGGUGACCUCAUGUUGCAUUCC
rnacentral:rRNA from 1 species